CCAAUAGCGUAUAUUAAAGUUGUUGCAGUUAAAAAGCUCGUAGUUGAAUUUCGAGAUCAAUAUGUCGGUCGUGCUUAGGUACGUACUGGUAUUAUUGAUUUCUCCUUUCUGAUGAACCAUGAUGCCAUUAAUUUGGUGUUAUGGGGAAUCAGGACUGUUACCUUGAAAAAAUUAGUGUGUUUACAGCAGGCUCACGCUUGAAUACAUUAGCAUGUAAUAAUGAAAUAGGACGUUUGAUUCUAUUUUGUUGGUUUCUAGGAUCGACGUAAUGAUUAAUAGGGAUAGUUGGGGGCAUUAGUAUUCAAUUGUCAGAGGUGAAAUUCUUGGAUUUAUUGAAGACUAACUACUGCGAAAGCAUUUGCCAAGGAUGUUUUCAUUAAUCAAGAACGAAAGUUAGGGGAUCGAAGACGAUCAGAUACCGUCGUAGUCUUAACCCUAAACUAUGCCGACUAGGGAUCGGAUGAUGUUAAUUUUUUAAUGACUCAUUCGGCGCCUUACG
rnacentral:rRNA from 1 species